rnacentral:rRNA from 1 species
GGUAUUUUGACCGUGCAAAGGUAGCAUAAUCAUUAGUUUUUUAAUUGAAAGCUGGAAUGAAAGGUUGGAUGAAAAAUAAGCUGUCUCUAUUUAAAUGUAUUAGAAUUUUAUUUUUAAGUUAAAAAGCUUAAAUUUUAAUAGAAGACGAGAAGACCCUAUAGAGUUUUAUUUAUUUUGUAGAUAAAAAUAAUAGUAUUAAUUAUUUUUGUUUAUAAGACAAAUUUAGUUGGGGUGAUUGAAAAAUUUAAUAAACUUUUUUUAUAUCUAUACAUUAAUUUAUGGUUAUUUGAUCCUUAGUUUAAGAUUAAAAGAUAAAAUUACCUUAGGGAUAACAGCGUAAUUUUUUUUGAGAGUUCUAAUCGAAAGAAAAGAUUGCGACCUCGAUGUUGGAUUAAAAUAAAAUUUUGGUGUAGAAGCUGAGA